UUUAUUCACCCGCUUCGGCUGUUAUCAGUCCAUACAAUGGGCGUUAUUAGCACAAACCAGUCCCAUAGAUAUGGGCCAUCUCCUGCUAGAUUGUUCAGAAGGUUGUUCUCAUCCAUCCAGAUGGAGGAUCACUAACAGGAGCGUGGAAGACUCCAGAAUCCACUCUGGCUGGAAUCCGGUGGAUAUGCAGUGUGUACAGAACAGUUCUCCACAGUCGCUGUCCACAUGGGUCAGUGGGACCAAGAAGCACUCUGCUAAUGUGUGGACUCUGACCAGCAACAUCCAGCAAGACCCAGACAGCGUUUUCUAUCUCCCAGCUGGAGUUUUUGUUUGUCUGUGACUGGAGAGUCAGAUUUUUGUUGAGCUUCACACUUGCAGAGGUAAGUCAGUUUGCAGAGAUCCCUCCCACCCUGGCUUUUAUGUGCUAGAUUUCUUAUCUGAAACAGUAAUAUUUCAGUGACUGCUGCUUCUACCACAGGUUAAUACACUCUACUGAUCCCUGAUGGGAGAAUCAUCAAUUUUGGCAACAAAGAAGCCUGGUGGAUGUUUGUUUACAGUCUGAUGAUGGGACAUCAUGCUCUGCAUCUUCAAAGUUUGCCUCCUCAUUAUUAUUCAUACCCAGUAAUGUGAAGUAUGCUCAUAUCUACUAUAACUGAACCAACCUGGUGCUCUUCAUUUAUGGAGGCUGUUGAGUCUGAAUGUUGGAUGUUGUGUAUCUCGUGUUCUCUGGGCUUUGUUGUCCUCAGUCUUUUCACAGGAUCAGAAAACAAAACCAGGAGGCGCGUACAUGUUUCUUCUCCAUGAUGUUUCUUCAAAUGUUUCUUCUGGAUGAUGAUAAGACUGACACGGGAUGCCACCUUUGGUCUUGUGAUGAAGCAAAGCUCAGGAAGAAGUGGGAUUAAAUGGUACCCACAUGUGUGCUGCUGAGAAGGAUGUACAGGGGCACCUGCAGCCAAAUCCAAGCCUCAGAGCAGAGCAGCAGUUUGUGCUCACAGAUGGUGACGGUGUGGAGAGACGGUGGUGUUUCCUCAGAAGAACCAGCAGAGUCACAAAGGACACCAGUCCAUCUCACCACCUUGACUUGCUGACUGAUGCUCGUCUGCACUGCACAGAGGAAAUCAGCUGACCGAGGAGUGUUUCUGAGUGAGGGGGGAGGAGUCAUCAUCCAGGUAAAGUGACGUAGAUCCGUGGACACACUUGUCUCCCCUUUAAAGGAGACGAUCCAAGUCAUCCUUAAAUAUGGGCAGCAUAUCAGUCUUGGACUGUCUAACCUGCAGCACUGAAUGACCACCACACAUGAGCAUGUUCCUGCAACAUUCAGCAUCUGAUCCUUCAUCUGUGUGCUUCUGCUUUUGUGUCACAUGUCAAACAGCUGGAGAGGAAACUACACCAGUGUACUGGGAUGUUUCAGCAACACGUGCCAGAUGCUGUUCCUUCAUGGUGACAUCACCAGAGACAGUCCCGCCCACCUCAGGACCUCGCCAUUGAUCAUGAUGAUUAUAAUGAUGACAGCGAGCGGAACUAAGACUGUAAAAAUCCACGACCAGAAUGUUUCUUUCUAAUUAUUAAUGAAUACUGAGAGCCUCUUUCUCUGUUUUGUCUGUUUUGGGGUUGUUUUUUUUACCUCAUUUGUUUCUAACAAAGUUCACAAACUCACACAGUUUACAUUCUGUAUGUUUCCAUCUUUACCAGCCACACUCUAACUGCAUUUAAGAAAAUAAUCCUUAGAAAUCGUCGUUUUUCUCUUUUGUAAUUGAUGAUAAUUCAGUGAAUAUACUGCGCUGCUUCCUUUUAUUGCGUCACACAUUGCUUUAAGUUUUUCAGUGUCCAGUUAUUUUUUACUGCUGUUUGAAUUCUCUGAAUGUUUGACCCUGUAGACUGUUUGAUGGACUGCUUGUCUUCCUGUUUGUUACCGCCGCCUGUUUUUUAAUAAAGAUUUGGAUUUCUGACUUCAAC
ensembl:lncRNA